rnacentral:rRNA from 1 species
AACGAACGCUGGCGGCAUGCCUAACACAUGCAAGUCGAACGAGAUCUUCGGAUCUAGUGGCGCACGGGUGCGUAACGCGUGGGAAUCUGCCCUUGGGUUCGGAAUAACAGUGAGAACUUACUGCUAAUACCUGAUGAUGUCUUCGAACCAACGAUUUAUUGCCCAGGGAUGAGCCCGCGUAGGAUUAGCUAGUUUGUGGGGUAAUGGCCUACCAAGGCGACGAUCCUUAGCUGGUUUGAGAGGAUGAUCAGCCACACUGGGACUGAGACACGGCCCAGACUCCUACGGGAGGCAGCCGUGGGGAAUAUUGGACAAUGGGCGAAAGCCUGAUCCAGCAAUGCCGCGUGAGUGAUGAAGGCCUUAGGGUUGUAAAGCUCUUUUACCAGGGAUGAUAAUGACAGUACCUGGAGAAUAAGCUCCGGCUAACUCCGUGCCAGCAGCCGCAGUAA